rnacentral:rRNA from 1 species
CGAAGCGUGCGAUUGGAUUGCACGUCUAAGCAGUAAGGCUGAGUAUUAGGCAAAUCCGGUACUCGUUAAGGCUGAGCUGUGAUGGGGAGAAGACAUUGUGUCUUCGAGUCGUUGAUUUCACACUGCCGAGAAAAGCCUCUAGAUAGAAAAUAGGUGCCCGUACCGCAAACCGACACAGGUAGUCAAGAUGAGAAUUCUAAGGUGAGCGAGCGAACUCUCGUUAAGGAACUCGGCAAAAUGACCCCGUAACUUCGGGAGAAGGGGUGCUCUUUAGGGUUAACGCCCAGAAGAGCCGCAGUGAAUAGGCCCAAGCGACUGUUUAUCAAAAACACAGGUCUCUGCUAAACCGUAAGGUGAUGUAUAGGGGCUGACGCCUGCCCGGUGCUGGAAGGUUAAGAGGAGUGGUUAGCUUCUGCGAAGCUACGAAUCGAAGCCCCAGUAAACGGCGGCCGUAACUAUAACGGUCCUAAGGUAGCGAAAUUCCUUGUCGGGUAAGUUCCGACCCGCACGAAAGGCGUAACGAUUUGGGCACUGUCUCAACGAGAGACUCGGUGAAAUCAUAGUACCUGUGAAGAUGCAGGUUACCCGCGACAGGACGGAAAGACCCCGUGGAGCUUUACUGUAGCCUGAUAUUGAAAUUCGGCACAGCUUGUACAGGAUAGGUAGGAGCCUUUGAAACGUGAGCGCUAGCUUACGUGGAGGCGCUGGUGGGAUACUACCCUAGCUGUGUUGGCUUUCUAACCCGCACCACUUAUCGUGGUGGGAGACAGUGUCAGGCGGGCAGUUUGACUGGGGCGGUCGCCUCCUAAAAGGUAACGGAGGCGCUCAAAGGUUCCCUCAGAAUGGUUGGAAAUCAUUCAUAGAGUGUAAAGGCAUAAGGGAGCU